rnacentral:rRNA from 1 species
AACGUAGGAGACAAACGUUAUCCGGAGUUACUGGGCGUAAAGGGCGUGUAGGUGGUUUCGUAAGUCUGGCGUUGAAAUUUUUCGGCUUAACCGGGAAAGGUCGUCGGAUACUGCGGGACUAGAGGACGGUAGAGGCGUGUGGAAUUCCGGGUGUAGUGGUGAAAUGCGUAGAGAUCCGGAGGAACACCAGUGGCGAAGGCGACACGCUGGGCCGUACCUGACACUGAUGCGCGACAGCAUGGGGAGCAAAACGAGGAUUACGAAACCCGG